GUGGGGAAUAUUGGACAAUGGGCGAAAGCCUGAUCCAGCCAUGCCGCGUGUGUGAAGAAGGUCUUCGGAUUGUAAAGCACUUUAAGUUGGGAGGAAGGGCAGUAAGUUAAUACCUUGCUGUUUUGACGUUACCGACAGAAUAAGCACCGGCUAACUUCGUGCCAGCAGCCGCGGUAAUACGUAGGGUGCAAGCGUUAAUCGGAAUUACUGGGCGUAAAGCGUGCGCAGGCGGUUUUGUAAGACAGAGGUGAAAUCCCCGGGCUCAACCUGGGAAUUGCCUCCAAAACUACUGGGCUAGAGUACGGUAGAGGGUAGUGGAAUUUCCUGUGUAGCGGUGAAAUGCGUAGAUAUAGGAAGGAACACCAGUGGCGAAGGCGACUACCUGGACUGAUACUGACACUGAGGUGCGAAAGCGUGGGGAGCAAACAGGAUUAGAUACCCCGGUAGUCC
rnacentral:rRNA from 1 species